rnacentral:rRNA from 1 species
UGGGGAAUAUUGGACAAUGGGCGCAAGCCUGAUCCAGCAAUGCCGCGUGUGUGAAGAAGGCCUUCGGGUUGUAAAGCACUUUUAUCAGGAGCGAAACGCUGUCGGCUAAUACCCGGCGGAACUGACGGUACCUGAGGAAUAAGCACCGGCUAACUUCGUGCCAGCAGCCGCGGUAAUACGAAGGGUGCAAGCGUUAAUCGGAAUUACUGGGCGUAAAGCGUGCGUAGGCGGUUUCUUAAGUCUGCUGUGAAAUCCCCGGGCUCAACCUGGGAAUGGCAGUGGAUACUGGGAGGCUAGAGUGUGUCAGAGGGUGGUGGAAUUCCCGGUGUAGCGGUGAAAUGCGUAGAGAUCGGGAGGAACAUCAGUGGCGAAGGCGGCCACCUGGGACAACACUGACGCUGAGGCACGAAAGCGUGGGGAGCAAACAGGAUUAGAUACCCUGGUAGUCCACGCCCUAAACGAUGUGAACUGGAUGUUGGUCUCAACUCGGAGAUCAGUGUCGAAGCUAACGCGUUAAGUUCGCCGCCUGGGGAGUACGGUCGCAAGACUGAAACUUAAAUGAAUUGACGGGGUCAUAGCUGUUUCC